GACGAACGCUGGCGGCGUGCUUAACACAUGCAAGUCGAACGGAAAGGCCCUGCUUGCAGGGUACUCGAGUGGCGAACGGGUGAGUAACACGUGGGUGAUCUGCCCUGCACUUCGGGAUAAGCCUGGGAAACUGGGUCUAAUACCGGAUAGGAGCCAUUUUUAGUGUGAUGGUUGGAAAGUUUUUUCGGUAUAGGAUGAGCUCGCGGCCUAUCAGCUUGUUGGUGGGGUAAUGGCCUACCAAGGCGGCGACGGGUAGCCGGCCUGAGAGGGUGGACGGCCACAUUGGGACUGAGAUACGGCCCAGACUCCUACGGGAGGCAGCAGUGGGGAAUAUUGCACAAUGGGCGCAAGCCUGAUGCAGCGACGCCGCGUGGGGGAUGACGGCCUUCGGGUUGUAAACUCCUUUCGCUAGGGACGAAGCUUUUUGUGACGGUACCUAGAUAAGAAGCACCGGCUAACUACGU
rnacentral:rRNA from 1 species